CUGGCUAGAUGACGCUGGCGGCGUGCUUAACACAUGCAAGUCGAACGGUGAAGGUGGAGCUUGCUCUGCUGGAUCAGUGGCGAACGGGUGAGUAACACGUGAGCAAUCUGCCCCUGACUCUGGGAUAAGCGCUGGAAACGGCGUCUAAUACUGGAUACGAACCACGGAGGCAUCUUCGGUGGUUGGAAAGAUUUUUCGGUCUGGGAUGAGCUCGCGGCCUAUCAGCUUGUUGGUGAGGUAAUGGCUCACCAAGGCGUCGACGGGUAGCCGGCCUGAGAGGGUGACCGGCCACACUGGGACUGAGACACGGCCCAGACUCCUACGGGAGGCAGCAGUGGGGAAUAUUGCACAAUGGGCGCAAGCCUGAUGCAGCAACGCCGUCGUGAGGGAUGACAGGCCUUCGGGUUGUAAACCUCUUUUUAGCAGGGAAGAAGCGAAAGUGACGGUACCUGCAGAAAAAGCGCCGGCUAACUACGUGCCAGCAGCCGCGGUAAUACGUAGGGCGCAAGCGUUAUCCGGAAUUAUUGGGCGUAAAGAGCUCGUAGGCGGUUUGUCGCGUCUGCUGUGAAAUCCCGAGGCUCAACCUCGGGCCUGCAGUGGGUACGGGCAGACUAGAGUGCGGUAGGGGAGAUUGGAAUUCCUGGUGUAGCGGUGGAAUGCGCAGAUAUCAGGAGGAACACCGAUGGCGAAGGCAGAUCUCUGGGCCGUAACUGACGCUGAGGAGCGAAAGGGUGGGGAGCAAACAGGCUUAGAUACCCUGGUAGUCCACCCCGUAAACGUUGGGAACUAGUUGUGGGGUCCAUUCCACGGAUUCCGUGACGCAGCUAACGCAUUAAGUUCCCCGCCUGGGGAGUACGGCCGCAAGGCUAAAACUCAAAGGAAUUGACGGGGACCCGCACAAGCGGCGGAGCAUGCGGAUUAAUUCGAUGCAACGCGAAGAACCUUACCAAGGGCUUGACAUACACGAGAACGCUGCAGAAAUGUAGAACUCUUUUGGACACUCGUGAACAGGUGGUGCAUGGUUGUCGUCAGCUCGUGUCGUGGAGAUGUUUGGGUUUAAGUCCCGCAACGAGCGCAACCCCUCGUUCUAUGUUGCCAGCACGUAAUGGUGGGAACUCAUGGGAUACUGCCGGGGUCAACUCGGAGGAAGGUGGGGAUGACGUCAAAUCAUCAUGCCCCUUAUGUCUUGGGCUUCACGCAUGCUACAAUGGCCGGUACAAAGGGCUGCAAUACCGUGAGGUGGAGCGAAUCCCAAAAAGCCGGUCCCAGUUCGGAUUGAGGUCUGCAACUCGACCUCAUGAAGUCGGAGUCGCUAGUAAUCGCAGAUCAGCAACGCUGCGGUGAAUACGUUCCCGGGUCUUGUACACACCGCCCGUCAAGUCAUGAAAGUCGGUAACACCUGAAGCCGGUGGCCCAACCCUUGUGGAGGGAGCCGUCGAAGGUGGGAUCGGUAAUAGACUAAGUCG
rnacentral:rRNA from 1 species